GAGACUGGGAUUUAAGAUUGAGGCAGUAUGGUAAGUUAUUAUUAUUUGUUUUCGUCUUUUGUUUUAAUUUGUAUUUCUAAUUAAUAAUUUCUUAUUUGUGCAUUGUAUUAUUAAAAAGUAAUACAAUCUUUUUAAUAGCAUUCAUUUAUUCUGUUACUGUGUUGGCGAAUGGAAGGAAGAAACCUGAUGAAAAAAUAAUCAGAGAAACAAAUUCUUUCAUACCUUUCAUCAUUCACUCGCUCUAAUCUACGGUGAAUCUAACAGGAGUGACCAGACCCGUAUCACGGUAGGAACCAUAUAUUGUCUAUCAGAAAUACACGAGAGCAGCAUCCUAUGUUGGAAAGAUUAUUUUAUAUUAUAUAUUGUUAAAAUACUAUAGUUAUUAUUGUUCUAUGGUAUUAUAGGUAUGUGAGAAAGG